rnacentral:rRNA from 1 species
GUACGUACAAGCAGUGGGAGCACAGGUUUACCUGUGUGACUGCGUACCUUUUGUAUAAUGGGUCAGCGACUUAUAUUCUGUAGCAAGGUUAACCGUAUAGGGGAGCCGUAGGGAAACCGAGUCUUAAUUGGGCGUUAAGUUGCAGGGUAUAGACCCGAAACCCGGUGAUCUAGCCAUGGGCAGGUUGAAGGUUGGUUAACACUAACUGGAGGACCGAACCGACUAAUGUUGAAAAA